rnacentral:rRNA from 1 species
GACGAACGCUGGCGGCGUGCUUAACACAUGCAAGUCGAACGGAAAGGCCCUGCUUUUGUGGGGUGCUCGAGUGGCGAACGGGUGAGUAACACGUGAGUAACCUGCCCUUGACUUUGGGAUAACUUCAGGAAACUGGGGCUAAUACCGGAUAGGAGCUCCUGCGGCAUGGUGGGGGUUGGAAAGUUUCGGCGGUGGGGGAUGGACUCGCAGCUUAUCAGCUUGUUGGUGGGGUAGUGGCUUACCAAGGCUUUGACGGGUAGCCGGCCUGAGAGGGUGACCGGCCACAUUGGGACUGAGAUACGGCCCAGACUCCUACGGGAGGCAGCAGUGGGGAAUAUUGCACAAUGGGCGGAAGACUGAUGCAGCAACGCCGCGUGCGGGAUGACGGCCUUCGGGUUGUAAACCGCUUUCGCCUGUGACGAAGCGUGAGUGACGGUAAUGGGUAAAGAAGCACCGGCUAACUACGUG